rnacentral:rRNA from 1 species
GUGCCAGCAGCCGCGGUAAAACGUAGGUACCGAGCGUUAUCCGGAUUUACUGGGCGUAAAGCGUGUGCAGGCGGUCGUGCAAGUCGGGCAUGAAAGCCCCUGGCUCAACUAGGGGAAGCUGUCUGAUACUGCAGGACUUGAGGGCUCGAGAGGGCGAUGGAAUUCCGCAUGUAGUGGUGAAAUGCGUAGAGAUGCGGAGGAACACCAGUGGCGAAAGCGGUCGCCUGGCGAGCCCCUGACGCUCAGACACGAAAGCUAGGGGAGCGAACGGGAUUAGAAACCCGGGUAGUCC